GAUGAACGCUGGCGGCGUGCCUAAUACAUGCCAGUCGAGCGAACAGAUAAGGAGCUUGCUCCUUUGACGUUAGCGGCGGACGGGUGAGUAACACGUGGGUAACCUACCUAUAAGACUGGAAUAACUCCGGGAAACCGGGGCUAAUACCGGAUAACAUUUAGAACCGCAUGGUUCUAAAGUGAAAGACGGUUUUGCUGUCACUUAUAGAUGGACCCGCGCCGCAUUAGCUAGUUGGUAAGGUAACGGCUUACCAAGGCAACGAUACGUAGCCGACCUGAGAGGGUGAUCGGCCACACUGGAACUGAGACACGGUCCAGACUCCUACGGGAGGCAGCAGUAGGGAAUCUUCCGCAAUGGGCGAAAGCCUGACGGAGCAACGCCGCGUGAGUGAUGAAGGUCUUCGGAUCGUAAAACUCUGUUAUUAGGGAAGAACAAAUGUGUAAGUAACUGUGCACGUCUUGACGGUACCUAAUCAGAAAGCCACGGCUAACUACGUG
rnacentral:rRNA from 1 species